CUUACUUCUGAUCGUCAGUUUAGUUCCUCCACCAAAAGUGUACCACAGUGCUUCAUUCUAGUGAAAGCGUCGUACAAAAACCUCCUUCACACUCAAAUGAACACAAACUCCACAACACACACACACACACACACUGAUAUGAGACUCAACAGCAGACAUGAAAUAUUGGACUAUUGAUCAAUUGUCUUUAUACAUCUUCAUUUGGGUUUCUAAAAGAUCAUAUAUUUCUCAAAGCAGUUUUAAUGAGUUCUGAUGACCUGUGACCUCUGAAAUGACCUUUGCCCUCACACUGAGUUCACAGGGACAUACUUGUUUCUCUGAAUGUUUCAGCUCUGUCACUGAAUCAAGAGAAAACCUGCAGUCUGAACCAGAGACUCACACAGAAUGAAAAAGACAUGAUUUCCAGAUUUGUAAAGAAGUGAGAACACACAGCACUGGAUCAUGAGACUAAAACAGGUUUAGAGGCUCAGGUUUCAUCUGCAUGUGGGGAUGUUCAUGUCUGUUUUCCUCCAGGAGGGUUUUUCCACAGAGAGUCACUUUGCAUCAGCACAUGCUUCAGCGCUCCGAGUGUUUAUAGCGUUCAGACUCAACACUUUAUAACACACUGCUGUUUACCACGGUACAAAACCAACAAACACAAUGAAUCUCUUCAGCAGCUUCAUCUGGAUUCUGGCAGCUUUUAUUCCAGCAGCAUCCAGAGGAAUCACUGUGACUCAGCCUGAAGCUGUGACUGUUUCUGAACGACAAGACGCCACGAUAGAGUGUAAAACUGAUCCUGGAAUAACUAGCUGGGGUUUAGCUUGGUAUCAGCAGAAACCUGGAGAAGCUCCUAAACUCAUCAUUUAUGAUGUAACCGAUCUCGAAGAUGAGAGUUUCAGUCGAUUCAGUGGGAAUGGAGAGUCAAGUGGGACUGAUUUCACUCUGACCAUCAGUGGAGUCCAGACUGAAGAUGCUGGACAUUAUUACUGUCAGAGUUACCACAACAUCAACAGUAAACGUGUGUUCACACAGUGAUAAAGCGUGGUACAAAAACCUGUGUCAGUCAGAGUCACAGUGACUGAACUGAUGCUGCAGCUGCUCAAACACUAUCACUCACUCAACAGGGAAAAACAUAUUAAUAUUAUCUUACAAUAAACAUCAGUUUUGUUGAGCUACAACAUUUAUUUUUGAUUAUGAUUUUUCUGAAGGUAUUUUUGUCUCCUGAUAUUUUCACUCCUUCAUGUAGAAAUCCAUCCACUUUCGAUCUUCAGUGGAUAUUUUUCCAUCCCAUUCCAUUAUUAUGAUUUAUUAAGUUCAUGCUUCAUAAUGCAGAUAUUAACUGCAUCAUAUAAAAUGUUUAUCAAUUUCAAAACAAAUGAUAAUGAAUAUAAUUUAUAUAAAUAUUCAUGCAGGAAAGAUUAACAAUGAUAUAAAGGUUAAUUUUCAAAUGAAAGACCAGAUUACCCAACAGCUUCAGUUAACCAUUAAAAAACAUACGCAUAUCACCAUAUUUACAUUUAUUUGAUAAAGAUUUAUAAAGAGUGAACAUGUAUUAUGUCAUGUGUGACGUGACUCCUCAUCAAACUCAGAGACUGACAGAGAUAUGUGUGUGAUGAUCCUCAUGUCUGUUAAAAACCUGCAGGAACAUCCAUAGAUUUAAUAUAAAAUUACCCAUCUUGGAAAGUAUGUUCAAAAUAACUGUGGUUAUGUCUUAAAUGGAAGAUAACAGUUGAGAAAAAAAAUAGAUAUGUAUUAUAUUGGAUGCAUGAGCAUCUAAUUUAGCUACUUAUUGAUGUAAUGUUAAUCGCAGAAAAUGUAAUUUAUUAAUAAGAUUCGGGAGGAGCGCGUCAGAUACCUAACCAACACAGGUGGACCAUAAUCAAGUAAUCAAUCCCAUAGUAUAAAUAUCGCUGACUUACCUCUAUCCACUGACGGUUUAUCAAAAUGCUGGUUCGCUUCGUCAGU